rnacentral:tmRNA from 1 species
GAGCUAGAAACGCUUUAUCUCCACCUGCGCCACAACUACCGGGGCCUGAUGGUGAGCCGGGGGCAUGAGGAGGGUGACUGAAGCCUGCUCGGUGAGAGCAAACCCGUAACUGCGAACAACAUCGUUCGUUUCUCCCGUCAAGCAGCCCCUGUUGCUGCCUGACCCUUAGGGGAGAUGGGGUGAAGUCAGCCUUAUCACCCAAGUGACUCAAUGGGGGUGGAAAGCCCC